CACUGACACACACACACACACACACACACACACACACACACGCACGCACGCACUAUGACUCCUAACUAGACCCUCAGUAAUAAGAUACAACCUGGCCCAUCAUAUCCCGAAGAGCAACUGAACAAGGUGAGCGGCUCUGGCCCUGAGAAACUACAUCGUUACUUUGACAAUUCCUUUUUCUUGAAAGAUCAGUGGAAGCAUGUCCUUUGUAAAAAUUAAUUCUAUGCUAAGACUUUUUCAUCUGUAAAUUUCUUCCUGACAGUUAUUAAUUUGGGGCCCAACCAGGGCCACAGAGUCUCACCACAUUAAGGUCUAGCCAACUUUUUCUUCCUUUUGGCUCUGAUGCCUGGGGGUCACGGUCAGGACAGAAAGAAUUAGGCAGAAUGUAGGUCAGUUCACCAGGUGAUAAAUUUGCCCCUUCCGUUGGAGCCUCUGAAGUUUCUGAGGCUAAUGGGAUGGCAGGUGCUAUUUUGACCAAAGAUGAAAGGAGAGAAUCUUCAAAGUCCACAGCCGCCUGGCGCUUGAGGUUUGAGAGCACCAGGUGGAGGGGCAGGAAACACAGGUUCUCGGUUUUAAGAGAAGUCUGCUGUUCUAGAAGCAGCCAGAAAUGAAGAGGCCACCUCUGACUGCAUGGUUCUUUUAAAAAGCAGGAGGAGAAGGCAGGGAGCGGAGAAGCUGGACCAAAGGGUUUGCUUGUUCUGUGAUGAGCGCUGAACACAGAGUCAAGCAUUGGAUUCCAGCCCCACGGCACAACACUAAGUCAGUGUGCACAGCGGCAAGCAUUUUGUCUCUUUGGGCCUCUGUUUCCUUGUUUGCAGAUGAGGGUUUAAGUCCCCAUCAUAGGUGUCAUUAGAUGUCCUCGUGUGGUUUUAGUUGCUAGAAUGAUAGACUUGAAACGGUGUGGUUUAUAAAGAAAAGAGGUUUAUUUGGCUUGCUCGCAGUUCCGGAGGCUGGAACGGAAGAGCGGAAGGACACGGCACUGGUGAGAAGGUGAGGGACCUUCCUGCUGUGUCACAAGGUGCUGGAGGACAUCACACAGUGACAUGUUUAUCCCUGGCUUUUCUUAUGAAACCACCAGCCCCACAAUGGGCUCCCAGUCUGUUGACCUCAUCUGAUCCUAAUCACCUUCCCACCGACCACUUCUAAACACCAUCAUGUAAACUGAAGAUUCUGUUUCCGACAGUUGAAGACUAGAGGCCAUGGCAGAGAGCUUCUAGAAGAUUCUUGACAGUGACUACCAACUUUCUAUUGGGUGUUUUUUUCAUCCAGAGAUGAGUGCUGAUUUCCUUCUUGGUGGCAGAGGUUCCAGAAAUGCCUCCUCUAUGAUCCUGUCCCUCCUUGAAGUGACAUCUCAUAUUGACUCACGGAUGAGGGGUGAUUAACAACCAAAAAGAAGAUGGUAAGAAGGGCCAGCUGUGGUUUCUGGAGAAACUUGGAUUCUUCACCUCCAGCUCUUCUGAUAGAUGAAGAAGACCAUCCCUCAGAAGAGUUCCUUAUAGCCACGUUUGUGGACUCCGCUCUUUCGUAUCUCCCUCCCAGUUUGGCUUCCUACCUCUGUCUCCAUUGCUUCCAGCUCUUCAGGAUGUGUGAAGACUCAGACACCACGAGCACCGAAGUAGACAUCAGGGAAUCCCAGGAGUGGUUAGCAUUUUCAGCAUUCCUGUGAAAACCAACUGGAAAAAUGAGCACGGGAAGAGCAGACAGAAUUUUUAUGUGGUGUCUUCGUCUCCCAGGAUCUACUCCUGCUACAUAACAUCAGGAUGAGGCGAGAAAUGUGAUGUUUUUCUUGCCAUUUGGAAAGGACAAUUCCAAAUUAGUCUUCUUUCGAAUCCCUUUCCCCACUGACCUCUCCACCAAAAAAAAAAAUAAAAUAAAAAGGGCAUUGGAUCAGAAAGCUGGGCUCCCAACCAAGCUCAGGAAGAAUCUUCCUGCCGCUCCUCCCCUAUCGUGUCUCUCAGAAGCUUUUGGACCACCACAGAAAGGACCUAAAAUGACUUCAUCUCACCAUCUUCAGACAGCUCUUCUGAGUUACGGCUUUGGCAGUGCUGGCAGUGCAAUCAUUUGUCCCCACACCUGUGACUUCUUUGACUAAAAAGAUAAAAUCUGGGGAUUGAGAACAUGGUGGAGCAGUAGAACCAUUGCUUAGCGUGCAUGGAUUUCCCUGGGUUCCACAUGUAGGACUGGGGAGAAACAUCAGAAGCUAAAGCCCUUACUUUGGCUGCUUUCAUGUCCCUGAGACCCUGAUAUCUAUCUGACAGACACAUCUUACCAGAGACAAGUUUUAUGUUGGCUCAUGGUUUCGGAGAGAGUCCCGUCCCUUGUGGUAAAAAAGGCAGGAUGUAGCUCAUAGUCACGGGAGCAUGAGACAAAACUCUUCUCAUAGUGGCUGGUCAGGAAGCAUAAAGAACAAGGUGGGAACCAAGGGCAGGUUCAGUCAUAGGCUUGCCUACAGUGACCAACUUCUAGCCAGGCCCCAUGCCCAACAGGUUCUGUAGCCAUCUACCCCUUCAAGCUAGGAACAGGGUUACCAGUGUGGUUGCAUAUGCUCAAAACCUGAGCUCUCAAAGGGCAUUUCAUAUUUAACAACAAUGGUCAGAAUGUAAACUAUCUCUGGCAGCAAUAAAGGAGAAGAAAGACACACGUGAGACAUAAGCAGUCGUUGGAUUCAGUUAAGACAAUGACUUUGGCUCAGUAAGAGAGUCUCAACUGAAUACAGUUUGGCUAUAAAUUUUAUGGUGAGAUUAUGAGUGCCCUAUGGGAAAUGCAAAAUACUCUUUGUUAAUUAUAGUUUUGGAAAAUGUCAUUGCAAACGUAUUUAAAGUCCAUUAAACACUGUCAGAGUUGACAGGAUCCCUUCUGGUGUCGGCUGGGCAAAAGCAAAAAGAAAAAAAAAAAUUCCUGUCCAUUUGGGUUGAUGAUGUGAAUUAGAGUAGCUGAGAUGGUCAAAAGGCUACUGACCCCCCCUGGAGAACAAGAACUGUUCUUUGUUGAAAGAAAUGGAAGUUAAAAAGUAAUGCUGAACUUUUGGAAAGUUUGGAAAGACGGGCCUUUUGGAAAGCAGAGAUCUGCAAAAUUCUCUACUGCAUUUAUUGGACAAAGCCAUGAGGUUGCCAAAUCUGGCCCUAGAGAGGUGAUGGAGAGGUCCUGGUGAAGAUCUGGACGCUCGCUCAGUUUCUGAAGGACAGUGGCCCUUGUUGAGGGAGGAGGCAUAAUCUCAGAGGCAACAUGGCGUCUGAGUCAGCUUUGGGCUGGUUUUCUCACAGUUUUUUUUGUUAAUGUUUAUGAGUGCUGGAGUGUUCAUUCUUUCUCUCCAGUUUCAGACACCCGGGAGCAGCAAUGCUCUGGCCAGGCCUUCUAAAGAGGUUCGUGGCCAAGUGAAACACGAAUUUUCGGAGCCAAUUUGAAAGACAAUUGGUCCUGGUAGACUCUUGCCUUACUAAGGGGUGGGAGUGAAAUUGGGCACAUCACACAUCCCCGGGGCUGGGAGAGGAUUAACGCUGCCAUAGAAUAGGGGAGACUUGUCACACAAGCAGCGGACGGGUGAGCCUCGCGGAGAGAAACUGUCUUCUGGGGACCUGACAAUAAAAAGAUCACAGCCCUCUCAUCAAAACCUCAGAGAAGGCCAUUUUGCAAAAGUCUCACGUUUUCAUCUGUGAAAUGGGUAACACCUCCCUCGUGGGACCGUUUUGAGAAUUAAAUGCCAAUCAAGUCUCUUUGGAGCUGUCCCCAUUUUCAUCAUUAUACAGUAAGAAAUGACUGGUGAUCGUAAACAUGUGCCCCUACUGUGUGCUAGGUUCGGUCCUACUGUUUGCAGGUGGACACUCUCACUGUCUUGAUGAGAUGUGUGGCUGAAAAGAGAUACCGAACGAACCCUUGAUCUCUAAGGCUGCUAGACCAAGGAGAGGGUGGGAGCCACUGAGGUUCCCCUCGGAUAGAUACAGUUAUCCCAGUGGGUCAUCCUUCGUCUUGGAGCCACCGAGGGAAGACGUCGACAAGCUGCUGCAGCUGCUGGAUGCUGCUGCUCCCCAAGAGGAAGACUUUAUUGCUUUUCUUUUUUUCUAAUUGAGAACUUUUUCUUCAAUCAUUUUACGGAACAUAUAAAAGCCAGCAGAGAUCAAGUAGGAUGAAGCGGAGUCAGAACCACUCUUCCAGAUGUGAAGAAGCACAUCUGCUUUUUGCUUAAGCAGUGGGAGCUAGGGUAGAGGAUUUCCACUGGCUUUAGGGGUCAGAGACAGCACCCGAGAGGCUCCCCUGGGUGACCACACCCCUGGCACAAGCUUGACAUGCUGUGUUGGGAAAGAGUGAGGUCUCCACGUUGAUGAAAGGCAGGGCUACUCUCAAGGAAGAGUCUUGGAAGAGCCCCUAAACUGCUUCCUGCUCUUGACAGAAUCUAGGGGACAGACUGGUUGCUAAGGCUUUGGUAAAGCAACAAGUGACUGACACAGGAGGACAAGGACACGUCCCUUCUGCCAUCUCCUCAUUCACUCGCUGUCCCCCAGGGGGUUUCUACUAAAGAUCUGGUUCCCCAGCUCCAAAGCAAGGUCGGAACUCCAACCACCAUCCCCAGCCACUCCCCCAGCCAGCUUGCUCUGCGCAGGCAGAGCCUUCCACGCCUUCCCGGAGUCUCCAAGCGCACGCGCCACUUGACUAGCGCUGUCAUUGGCUGCUGCCUGUUGCUAACCCACGUGACCGGCUCCGGCACGCUCCGCCCCUGCUCCUGCUAGCCUAGUGCGUUCCUGCGGACGUGCGCUGCUGCCU
rnacentral:sRNA from 1 species